AAAUGCGAUAAGUAGUGUGAAUUGCAGAAUUCAGUGAAUCAUCGAAUCUUUGAACGCACAUUGCGCCCUUUGGUAUUCCUUAGGGCAUGCCUGUUCGAGCGUCAUCUAAACCUUCAAGCCCUGCUUGGUGUUGGGUGCCUGUCCCGCCUCCGCGCGCGGACUCACCUCAAAUCCAUUGGCGGCCCCCGCGUCGGCCACGAGCGCAGCAGAAACGCGAACUCGUGAGCCCGUCCGGGCGGCUCCCAGAAGCUACACCCACCCAGUUUGACCUCGGAUCAGGUAGGGAUACCCGCUGAACUCAGGC
rnacentral:misc_RNA from 1 species